rnacentral:rRNA from 1 species
CAUGAAGCUGGAAUCGCUAGUAAUCGCGAAUCAGAAUGUCGCGGUGAAUACGUUCCCGGGUCUUGUACACACCGCCCGUCACACCAUGGGAGUCGGAUAUGCCCGAAGCCGGUGACCUAACCGCAAGGAAGGAGCCGUCGAAGGUGGAGCCGAUGACUGGGGUGAAGUCGUAACAAGGUACC